AGUGAACGCUGGCGGUAGGCCUAACACAUGCAAGUCGAACGGCAGCACAGUAAGAGCUUGCUCUUACGGGUGGCGAGUGGCGGACGGGUGAGGAAUACAUCGGAAUCUACUUUUUCGUGGGGGAUAACGUAGGGAAACUUACGCUAAUACCGCAUACGACCUACGGGUGAAAGCAGGGGAUCUUCGGACCUUGCGCGAUUGAAUGAGCCGAUGUCGGAUUAGCUAGUUGGCGGGGUAAAGGCCCACCAAGGCGACGAUCCGUAGCUGGUCUGAGAGGAUGAUCAGCCACACUGGAACUGAGACACGGUCCAGACUCCUACGGGAGGCAGCAGUGGGGAAUAUUGGACAAUGGGCGCAAGCCUGAUCCAGCCAUACCGCGUGGGUGAAGAAGGCCUUCGGGUUGUAAAGCCCUUUUGUUAGGAAAGAAAAGCAGCAGGUUAAUACCCCGCUGUGCUGACGGUACCCAAAGAAUAAGCACCGGCUAACUUCGUG
rnacentral:rRNA from 1 species